UUGGCGUGGGGGCAGGGCCGCAACAGCCGCCAGGAUUUGGACUCCACUGAUUGGCGGAGAGCGAUGGCUGGGCGGUCACGUGGUCCCAGACGUGUUUGUUUGCGGAAAUAGGGGGAAGUAGAGGUGCUGAGUAACCAGAGGUCCCCACGGGGCCAGGAUCCAGGAUAGCACUGACUGCAGGCUCGGGUGGCGGGGCCUCGGCCUGCUGUGGAGGAUGCAGUUCUUCGGCCGCCUGGUCAGCACUCUCAGCGGUGUCACCACCUUGUUCUCGAACCCAUUCCGGGUGAAGGAGGUGCUUGUGAGUGACUAUACCUCCAGUGGCCGUGCUCAGGAGGAAGGACAGCUGAUCCUGUUCCAGAAUGCUGCCAGUCGCACCUGGGACUGCAUCCUGGUCCACCCCACGAACUCUCAGAGUGGCUUCCGG